AUGGAGCAAAACCCUAAAAGCGGUCUCAGUUCGGAUUGAAGGCUGAAAUUCGCCUUCAUGAAGCUGGAAUUGCUAGUAAUGGCAGGUCAGCAUACUGCCGUGAAUACGUUCCCGGGCCUUUGUACACACCGCCCGUCACACCAUGAGAGUUGGAAAUACCCGAAGCCUGUGAGCUAACUGUAAAGAGGCAGCAGUCGAAGGUAGAGCCAAUGAUUGGGGUGAAGUCGUAACAAGGUAUC
rnacentral:rRNA from 1 species